UACCUGCGUUAGGCAGUCGCUGGUCCGCAAGGGCUAGAGGAAAGUCCGGACACGCCCACGUUUCGUAAGAUAUGUGGAGCACGGUAGCGGGUAACGCCCGCCGGGGUAAUCCUAGGGAUGCGAACAGAGACGGUUUUUUGCGAGAGCAAAAAACCGCCCCGUGAAAUCGCGAAAGCAUAUUUCACUGGGGCGAGAUUGAGCAGUUAAAGGCUCAAGGUGCAACGGCAAAAAUCCUACCUGCGUGCAAGGUCGUAUCAAAUCGUGCCAUCGGUACGGUUAGAAGAACCGCUUGAGGUGAUUGGCAACAAUCAUCCCAGAUAAAUGACUGUCCUCGACAGAAUCCGGCUUACAAAUGCAGCGAAAUG
rnacentral:RNase_P_RNA from 1 species